rnacentral:rRNA from 1 species
GAGUUUGAUCCUGGCUCAGAUUGAACGCUGGCGGCAGGCCUAACACAUGCAAGUCGAGCGGAUGACGGGAGCUUGCUCCUUGAUUCAGCGGCGGACGGGUGAGUAAUGCCUAGGAAUCUGCCUGGUAGUGGGGGACAACGUUUCGAAAGGAACGCUAAUACCGCAUACGUCCUACGGGAGAAAGCAGGGGACCUUCGGGCCUUGCGCUAUCAGAUGGGCCUAGGUCGGAUUAGCUAGUUGGUGGGGUAAUGGCUCACCAAGGCGACGAUCCGUAACUGGUCUGAGAGGAUGAUCAGUCACACUGGAACUGAGACACGGUCCAGACUCCUACGGGAGGCAGCAGUGGGGAAUAUUGGACAAUGGGCGAAAGCCUGAUCCAGCCAUGCCGCGUGUGUGAAGAAGGUCUUCGGAUUGUAAAGCACUUUAAGUUGGGAGGAAGGGCAGUAAGUUAAUACCUUGCUGUUUUGACGUUUACCGACAGAAUAAGCACCGGCUAACUCUGUGCCAGCCGCCG